GCAGUAGCCGCGGUAAAACGGAGGGUGCAAGCGUUAAUCGGAAUUACUGGGCGUAAAGCGCACGCAGGCGGUUUGUUAAGUCAGAUGUGAAAUCCCCGAGCUUAACUUGGGAACUGCAUUUGAAACUGGCAAGCUAUAGUCUUGUAGAGGGGGGUAGAAUUCCAGGUGUAGCGGUGAAAUGCGUAGAGAUCGGGAGGAACAUCAGUGGCGAAGGCGGCCAUCUGGGACAACACUGACGCUGAGGCACGAAAGCGUGGGGAGCAAACAGGAUUAGAUACCCGCGUAGUCCCUGUCUCUUAUAC
rnacentral:rRNA from 1 species